rnacentral:lncRNA from 1 species
GAUUUUUUGGGCCCCAGAGGGCGUGAACACAGGAAGGUAAACCCCACUGGCUGAGCCCACAGUGUGCUGAGCAGGUGGGGGUGUGUUCUAGACUGAUCACAUCCUCACAUUCUCAGGACAACCUUGGGAGAGGUGCUAUUGUUUCCACUUGGCAGCCGAAGAAUUGAGGCUCAGAGUGGUGAAGUGAUUUGGCCAAGGCCACACAGCAAGGAGACGGCAGAGUGGGGACUGCGUGGCUGGGGGUCUGUCUGACUCUAAAGACAGUGUGUAUUUUUCUGGCACUAUUAACACCCCAUGGGGGACCCAGCUCCUAGCAGGUACGUGGAGCUGCCUGUGGAGAGGUUGGUGCAGCGGGUGGCAUUGGCUGCGGGAGGCCUCUGAAGACAUACCCAUUCCUUUUCUUCUGAGCCCGCAGAAGACAACCCUGCCUAGCUUCUUUGCAGCUACGUGGAGACAUGUGACUAGUUUGGCCAAUGGGAUGUGAGAAGAGAUGAUGAAACUCGGAGGAGAACUUGUGAGAUCGCCGUGACUGCUUUUCCCCUGCCACAGUGGCUAAGAGGAUAAGGCUAUCAAGGGUGGAGCCUCUCUAGGCCUGGGUUCCUGGGUGCCUGUGUGGAGCCGAGACCCCAGGCUAACUCACAAUGAACACGCCGUGUGAGGAAGACGUAAAGCUUUAUGUAUUAAGCCACUGGAGCUUAGGGUUUAAUUUGUUACUGUGGUGUAGCCUACCCUAUUCUAACCAAUACAAGGAUCUUUGGAUGACUCUCCUCCAGGAAUUCAUAUACAAAAACAUCCUCCCUGCAUGAGAACUCCCUAUAUGGUUCCAGCAGUAUCUCUCACCUGCAAUAGUGACUAAAGUCAAGACUCUCUGCUGGCUAUUUCGUUUCUACUGAACUAGAAUAUAAAUUUGAGCAGGACAUGGACCUUUUCAAUCUUGCCUACCCUCAUAUCCCAGUAACAAGUGGCUAGCAGAGUACCUGACACAUCAUGGAUGCUCAAAAAAUAUUUCUUGACUAACUGGAUGAAUAAAUGAGUGAAUCAUCAUCAGGAUUGCUGCUCGUGAACCCCUCCUCUUGCAGCUACCUGCCUUUGAAUUUGCCCUCAGGCUUCCUAGCUAGUUUCUUCUUUAGCCUUUCUGACCCAUCGUUCCUUCCGUAGAGUUCAAGACAACACUGCUCCUCCUAUGAACCAAAAGAAAGUGCCAGCGGCUGUUGGUGACGAAGCUCUUCUUUUCUAGGCAAUAAAGCCCCCUCCAGUUGUAGCAGUUUUCUCUGGAAUGGUAAGUCCCUCAGAUCUGGGAGUUAAUUGUUACUGUGGCAGAGGCCAGGCCACCCUGACUGAUAGAAGACCUUUUGGGAGAUUCUUCUUUCCCUGGAUGAGGUUGUACCCUGUUUAUGUUGGAUAAACAACUCAAAACCAGUAGCAUAGAAUGUUAGUGCCAGAGGGGAACUGAGAGACUAACAUGUUUUCCUUUUGCAAAUGAGGAAACUGAGGCAGAGAGAAGGGAGGGAAAUUGAUUAAGGCCUUUGGCUUAUUGGUUCAUUCCUUUGAUCGCUGUGAUGGAUGUUUCCCUGUCUUUUUAACCCCCCUGGCUUGUGUACCCUGUUCCAAGGAAUUCUCCAACUCAUGACUCUCCAACUUAUGAUGGGAAACAGAGCCCACCUCCCACUCAAGAAAAAAACAAUGCUUGCAGCACUAUUCUCAAUUGCAAAGACAUGGAAUCAACCCAAAUGCCCAUCAGUGAUAGACUGGAUAAAGAAAAUGUGGUACAUAUACACCAUGGAAUAAUAUGCAGUCAUAAAAAGGAGGAAUGGGAUCACGUCCUUUACAGGGACAUGGAUGAAGCUGGAAGCCAUUAUCCUCAGCAAACUAAUGCAGGAACAGAAAACCAAACAUCACACGUUCUCACUUAUAAGUCGGAGCUGAACAAUGAGAACACAUGGACACAGGGAGGAGAUCAACACACUCUGGGGUCUGUUGGGGGACGGGAAGAAAGCAUCAGGAAAGAUAGCUAAUGCAUGCUAUGCUUAUUACCUAGGUGAUGGGUUGAUAGGUGCAGCAAACCACCAUGGCACACGUUUACCUAUGUAACAAACCUGUGUGUCCUGCACAUGUACCCCAGAACUUAAAAUAAAAAAAAAAAGGCAAGGCUGAGUACUCCCUUUCCCAGGCUCCCUUGCAGCUAGGAUGUGGGUGUGUGAGCAGGAGGGUGUGCAAGGCUGGCAGCUCUCCCCAACAGUCAGGGUUUGAGUUUGGGGGUGGGGCAGUGCUG